AGAGUUUGAUCCUGGCUCAGAACGAACGCUGGCGGCGUGGCUAAGGCAUGCAAGUCGAACGGACUGUUAUUUUGGGUAACUGAGAUUUCAGUUAGUGGCGAACGGGUGAGUAAUGCAUAGGCAAUGUACCCUGGGCUCAGGAAUAGCCCGUCGAAAGGCGGUGUAAUACCUGAUGACAUCAGAGGAUCGCAUGGUCCACUGAUCAAAGCUCCGGCGGCCCUGGAGCAGCCUAUAUCCUAUCAGCUUGUUGGUGAGGUAAUGGCUCACCAAGGCAACGACGGGUAGCGGGCGUGAGAGCGUGACCCGCCACAUCGGGACUGAGACACUGCCCGGACACCUACGGGUGGCUGCAGCAACGAAUAUUCCGCAAUGGGCGAAAGCCUGACGGAGCGACGCCGCGUGUGGGAUGAAGUCCUUCGGGAUGUAAACCACUGUCAGGGGUUAGAAAGAUCUGAUCAGCCCCACAGGAAGCCUCGACUAACUCCGUGCCAGCAGUCGCGGUAAUACGGAGGAGGCUAGCGUUGUUCGGAAUUACUGGGCUUAAAGCGCGUGUAGGCGGAUGGGUAAGUGUCAAGUGAAAGCCCCCGGCUCAACCGGGGAACUGCUAGGCAAACUGCUCGUCUUGAGGCAGGUAGGGGUGCAUGGAACUCUAGGUGGAGCGGUGAAAUGCGUAGAUAUCUAGAGGAACGCCGGUGGCGAAAGCGGUGCACUGGGCCUGUUCUGACGCUGAGACGCGAAAGCGUAGGGAGCGAACGGGAUUAGAUACCCUGGUAGUCUACGCCGUAACGAUGCGCACUAGGCUCGAGGAACUCUGACGUUUU
rnacentral:rRNA from 1 species